UGGGGAAUAUUGCACAAUGGGCGCAAGCCUGAUGCAGCCAUGCCGCGUGUGUGAAGAAGGCCUUCGGGUUGUAAAGCACUUUCAGCGGGGAGGAAGGCGAUAAGGUUAAUAACCUUGUCGAUUGACGUUACCCGCAGAAGAAGCACCGGCUAACUCCGUGCCAGCAGCCGCGGUAAUACGGAGGGUGCAAGCGUUAAUCGGAAUUACUGGGCGUAAAGCGCACGCAGGCGGUCUGUCAAGUCGGAUGUGAAAUCCCCGGGCUCAACCUGGAAACUGCAUUAGAGAAUGGCAGGCUAGAGUCGUGUAGAGGGGGGUAGAAUUCCAGGUGUAGCGGUGAAAUGCGUAGAGAUCUGGAGGAAUACCGGUGGCGGAGGCGGCCCCCUGGACAAAGACUGACGCUCAGGUGCGAAAGCGUGGGGAGCAAACAGG
rnacentral:rRNA from 1 species